rnacentral:rRNA from 1 species
UACGUAGGGGGCAAGCGUUGUCCGGAUUUAUUGGGCUUAAAGAGCUCGUAGGCGGUUCCGUAAGUCGGGUGUGAAAAAUCUGGGCUCAACCCAGUGGAGCACCCGAUACUGCGGUGACUCGAGUCCGGUAGGGGAGUGUGGAAUUCCUGGUGUAGCGGUGAAAUGCGCAGAUAUCAGGAGGAACACCAGCGGCGAAGGCGGCACUCUGGGCUGGUACUGACGCUGAGGAGCGAAAGCGUGGGGAGCGAACAGG